rnacentral:rRNA from 1 species
GAGGAAUAUUGGUCAAUGGACGCAAGUCUGAACCAGCCAUGCCGCGUGCAGGAUGACGGCUCUAUGAGUUGUAAACUGCUUUUGUACGAGGGUAAACGCAGAUACGUGUAUCUGUCUGAAAGUAUCGUACGAAUAAGGAUCGGCUAACUCCGUGCCAGCAGCCGCGGUAAUACGGAGGAUUCAAGCGUUAUCCGGAUUUAUUGGGUUUAAAGGGUGCGUAGGCGGUUUGAUAAGUUAGAGGUGAAAUUUCGGGGCUCAACCCUGAACGUGCCUCUAAUACUGUUGAGCUAGAGAGUAGUUGCGGUAGGCGGAAUGUAUGGUGUAGCGGUGAAAUGCUUAGAGAUCAUACAGAACACCGAUUGCGAAGGCAGCUUACCAAACUAUAUCUGACGUUGAGGCACGAAAGCGUGGGGAGCAAAC